UUUUGCUUGCCUUCUCGCGAUGCCGAUCCCUGGAGUUACAGAGCACGCCCACAACGCGGAAAGAAAAGCAAUAGAUGGCAACGAAGACACCCGCUCUUUGCGCCUCGCCCGCAACCCCCUUUCCCCAGUGGACGGGAAGCAGAGGAACCCUUCUCAUGCAUUCGCGCACGCACAUACCCUGUGUGUGCCAUACGCUUGACUGGAGGCCAUGCGUCUUGCGCUGUCUCUUGACGGCACUUCUUUUUCCUUGUGCUCUCUUCUCCUGGCGGGGGCGGCGUUUCGUUCUGCCCCUUACGCUCUCGAUCCGCCACUUGCACACUACACAGGAGAUCGACAACAAAGCGCAUCGGCACCAACGGCAUGAGCGGCGCUAGCCCAGAAAGUACUCGCGCGCUGGCCAGCGAACCUUCCGUGAAGGAAAUGCCUAUCGGCGAGCGUUUCUUCGAGGCCCUCUUCGGCUUUGCGGAGGGCGACUACGUUGCCACACGACGUUCCCUCUUUCAAAACUGCACCUUUGAGGCGGUGCGCGCCAACAAGUCGAGCGGCCACAACCGCGUGCGCAAGGAGCGGGCCUUGUUUCACCACCCGCGCGUGGCAGGCGGCCUCCCCGUCAGCAGCGGCUGGCAUUCCACGCCAAGGGUUGCCGAUCUUCGCACGGAAACGACGGCGGCCGUGCGCACGUUUGACGAGAAGUACCCAGGGCUGCUCGUGAAACUAGCAGCCGCUAGAAUUAGCUCUUGCGAGAUGUCCAUACCACCGUCGCCCGUGACGUGCGUACAUGUCGCGGGCGACGCUGGGCGGAUGCACAGCCUCACGGUGAAUGGCGUCUUUCAGGUCGCCAGCCAGUUCAACCUGCUCGAGUUCUCGUCGUCUGAAAUUUCACCGGAGCACGGCGUGCGUCACUACGCGCAUUAUCCGACCCAGGGGCCGGCGUGUGCCUUGGCGUGCAUGGCUGGUACUGUCUAUCGUAACUACCUUCUACAUCCCGACUUCUUUGGAGCCACGGAUGCGGCGGCUUUCACGGAAAAUGCUGAUGUGGCCGACCGUGGACAGCAAACAGAUCGCCAGCUGAACAUGCUGGACGAACUUGUCGAUUACCUCACCCGUGCGCGCAGCAGUGGUGACGCUACCUCUGCUACGGAUGCCGCUUAUUCCGCUGCUUGCAGCGCGCCUGCGCUGCCGCGGGAACACUUCUUCACGAUCCGAAACGGGUACUUCUUUCUGAAACGGCAAAUGGCCUCGCUGCCUGCGCGAUUGCAUCGCAUCGCCGCCGUCGAAGGGAUCUCGAUGGCAGAUGUCGAGGAGGAGUUGGCGUCGCGUCUUCGCAUUGGACUGGUGGAAGAUGCCACCGUGACGCUGCCUCUGCACGACCCGCCUGUCUUCCGCGUUCGUGAGCAGCGCCAACUCACCGAUCAAGCGGAGCGAAAAGUUGUGUGCAGAUUGGAUGCAGAUGUUGCUGCUGAGGUGGAGGUUCAUGAAGUGACUCAGACGUACAACAGUGCCUUGAGCCUGCCCUCGAAGGACUAUUGCACGCCACUGGAGUGGAUUGGCAUUGCCACUCUCUCCCGCAUCAUCUUACGCGGCACGUACGAGGCCACGCUCCUGGUCGGCGUUCAGCACACCCUCCGUGAUUUGGAGCGGCAGGCCAGCUUGGCGGUCGCGUCUUCGCCAGCGACGCCGCCCUUUUCGCUACCGCCCAUCUUUCUCACCAAGGUGGGCGGCGGUGCCUUCAACAACGAUAAGGAGUGGAUUGCCUCUGGGAUCGCGUCAGCGGUGCACCGCGUAGCCGCGCUCAGAGUACCGCUCAACGUGCGACUCGUGCACUUUCGCCGGAUGGAUGAGUACUACAUGAGAUACUUUCCAUCGUGGCCUGUGCUGGACUGAAUCGCGCGUGCGUCACGCCACUCGUGUACGUAGGACGGGAGACAGGAAACACCACGUAGAGGGUGCGGACACAUCUAGUUCUCGUGUAGCGUACUUUUCUAUUUCUCAUGCGCGCAUCUGUGCUUGUUUGCGUGUAUGUGUGUGUAUGUCCCUCUCUCUCUGCGCGCACGUACACCGUCUUGCAGCUCACCCCGCUGGUGGGCACGCGGACGCGUCUUCCCUUUUUUCCCUCUUGCGCCCUUUGCCCUAUGUUGUUUUUCACCAUCACCCGGAGCGCGCUCUUCGCGACAACGCGACUUGCAUUUUUCCUCUUCAAAGUCUUGCCUUACAGAGUGUCGUAGGCGUCGUGUUGUCUCGCCUGCAUUGCGGAGUCGUUUGCCCGCGUUCUGGGGGACUCUGCUGCCGCGCGUGUUUCUCGUGCAAAAACCUAAACUCUGACAUUAUCCUUCCCUUCCCCCCUCUUUCACACCCGAGGCCGAACGCCCUUUGUGCGUGUCGGAGGACGUUUCCCACUCCCACACCCCCGCAGCCCUCUCUCUCUAACACGCCUCCGAUACACGUGCACAGGUACACAGGCACACGCGCUCUCCUUUCUUUUUUCUAAAUGUAGCGAACCCACGAAGCAAGACACGCCAUUUUUUUUUUCGCUUGUUGGUUUCGUGCCUCCUUCCAGUACAACGACACAGACGGCGAGCGAGGUGGACGCAGUGUCGGCGCGCAUUUUCCGUUUUUCUCUUGUCUUUUGCUCCCCCUUUAGCGGUCUUCUCAUUUUCGUUUGAGUCGAACGUGUACACGCGCGCGUGUGUUUGUGUGGUUUACUUCUGCCGGCUCCACGUUGGCGCCGGCAAACACACGCGGACAUGUACACCCAUGCGAGAAGCAACCACGCCGCCUUUCUCCACUGUCUCUUAUCAUCGCACCUUCCCCUCUUCCCCUCUUCCCUCCCUCUACUCCACCCACCACUCGCCCACGACAACCCUCUCCUCUCUCUCCCGAGAAGAACUGUGCUUGCGGGGUGCCGCAAAAAAUCGUGCCCCCCCCCCCUCCUCUCUCGCUCUAUAUUUUCCUGGAAGCCACGCGAGAUUGUCGCCGUACGCCAACCAAGAGCCGAAGCG
rnacentral:misc_RNA from 1 species